CAUGCAAGUCGAGCGCACUCUUCGGAGUGAGCGGCGGACGGGUUAGUAACGCGUGGGAACGUGCCCUUCUCUAAGGAAUAGCCACUGGAAACGGUGAGUAAUACCUUAUACGCCCUUCGGGGGAAAGAUUUAUCGGAGAAGGAUCGGCCCGCGUUAGAUUAGAUAGUUGGUGGGGUAAUGGCCUACCAAGUCUACGAUCUAUAGCUGGUUUUAGAGGAUGAUCAGCAACACUGGGACUGAGACACGGCCCAGACUCCUACGGGAGGCAGCAGUGGGGAAUCUUGGACAAUGGGCGCAAGCCUGAUCCAGCCAUGCCGCGUGAGUGAUGAAGGCCUUAGGGUCGUAAAGCUCUUUCGCCAGAGAUGAUAAUGACAGUAUCUGGUAAAGAAACCCCGGCUAACUCCGUGCCAGCAGCCGCGGUAAUACGGAGGGGGUUAGCGUUGUUCGGAAUUACUGGGCGUAAAGCGCACGUAGGCGGAUCAGAAAGUAUAGGGUGAAAUCCCAGGGCUCAACCCUGGAACUGCCUUGUAAACUCCUGGUCUUGAGUUCGAGAGAGGUGAGUGGAAUUCCGAGUGUAGAGGUGAAAUUCGUAGAUAUUCGGAGGAACACCAGUGGCGAAGGCGGCUCACUGGCUCGAUACUGACGCUGAGGUGCGAAAGUGUGGGGAGCAAACAGGAUUAGAUACCCUGGUAGUCCACACCGUAA
rnacentral:rRNA from 1 species